GGGUUGUGAGGUUAAGCGACUAAGCGUACACGGUGGAUGCCCUGGCAGUCAGAGGCGAUGAAGGACGUGCUAAUCUGCGAUAAGCGUCGGUAAGGUGAUAUGAACCGUUAUAACCGGCG
rnacentral:rRNA from 3 species